rnacentral:rRNA from 1 species
ACGGAGGAUCCAAGCGUUAUCCGGAUUUAUUGGGUUUAAAGGGUGCGUAGGCGGAAUAGUAAGUCAGUGGUGAAAGCCUGCAGCUUAACUGUAGAAUUGCCAUUGAUACUGCUAAUCUUGAGUACAUAUGAAGUAGGCGGAAUGUGUCAUGUAGCGGUGAAAUGCGUAGAUAUGACACAGAACACCGAUUGCGAAGGCAGCUCACUAAACUGUAACUGACGCUGAGGCACGAAAGCAUGGGGAGCAAACAGGA